rnacentral:lncRNA from 13 species
AGUUUUUUUCUCUGUUCCAUUGACCUUGGCAACACAUCCUAUUGACACUCUCCCUGUUUCAAGAAAAGGUUGGUGUUUCUUUACCCCCACUUUACCUCUAAAACAAUUAGUCCAGCCUAUAUCAUCUUUAAAUUGUUUGCAUGAUUCAACACUUGCUGACCCUUGACCUCUACCUGGUUUUGGCUUAGUUGAACCAGCUGUGGUCAAGUCAGCCAGAAGGACCAGGAUUGCUAUUGGUAACACUCCAAACCAUGACAACAAUCUGUCAACUGUACUACACACAGCUAUUCUUUACGUUACUCUCCACGCCUUUUGUUUUGCCAAUUAUUUGACCCUGAUAAACAUAUCCUUGACUCGUAACUCAUGACUGUCAUUUUUCCAAUUUCCUGCAGUUGAACCAGUAGUUAGAGCCCCAUCCACAAGUUCAGCUAAUAGGCCUCGGGUCUCUGUGGCCCCUGUGGCAAAGGACAAACCUGCUCCAGCUUCCAAGACCAGAUCAAUUGCCAAGCAGUCUGCAGCACCACCUGUUGGCAGAGGGAGGAACACCAGGGGAAAUGCUAUGAGCAAUAAGCAGGCUGCUGUGAAAGUGGACAAGCCAUUAGAGGAGCCUAGGGCUGCCAGCCCCACACCCCCUAGUGCAGAGGAGCAGAAGGAUGUGAAGAUGGUUAGAAGACCUUGUUCAUCCAGGUCCAGAACCUGUCUCAGCCCAGGCCGACUGCAUCCCCCCUUCAGCCCGCACCUUGUCCUCAUUUGCCCCCCAGGGCUUUGUGUUCCAGGCCCCAGCAGCCCUGUCCUCCUUCAACCCCAAACCUCUCACUCCCGCUCUGCAGACUCCUUUUUCAAACCCAGGUUGAUGGUUGGAACCCCCAAGCUGACUAGGUGUAAAAUCUGUCCAUGUGCCCUAAUUGCUUCUUGUCUCAGUUCUACACCUUGUUCCACUCUGGCCCUCUGA